rnacentral:lncRNA from 1 species
GUUCUGAAGGUGUAGUCAAGGUGCUGUGGUAUCUGGUGACAGUGGUCUGGUGGCAGGGUCCCAAGAUGGUGCUGGACAUCCCUUGCGGCAUGGCUUGCAUGAAGCUUGGUUUACCUGUGUGGUGGCUGUGAGAAAGUGUCCCACAUGAUAGUCAGUGAUAGAAAAGAACAGAACAUACGGGAAAUGGGAAUAAAACAGCUACAUUGGGGAAGGAGAGAAGAGCGAGGCUGAGAAUGUCCUAGAACUCUGCAACUUAAAGUGUGAUUCAGGGAUGGCUUCUGACCCUGCACAAGGAUCUUGGCAGAUGCACACUGCACAUUUCACUGAGCAUCACUGAAGUGCCAUGGAAAGAACAGAGUCAAAUCUAAAAGCAUUCAAGUCCACAGUUCUCCAUUUAUUACUGGGUGAUCUCAGGCAGAUAACUUCUGUUCCUUCAUGUAUAGAAAUUUGAAUGGCAGAAGAUACUAUGUAAAUUUUAUUAUAUCAGUUAAGCAUAGAACACACAUAAAAGCAGAGUUCCAGGCACAGAACUGCUUUUUUGAAUAAGCAGAAUCAGUGGUAUUUUCCACACAUUAUCUCAUAUAUUCCUCCCAGUAGCUCUGGGAAGUGGGGGGAUCAUAAGCCUAUUGUGUAGAGGACGAAACAGAGGCUUCCAAGACAGAGCCGAAGAAAAAGGUUAAAUGCUUUGCUUGAAGUUAGAGCUGAAACCAGAGAUGAUUCAUAGACCAAAAGAACUGCAUGAAAGUAGCACCCACGAUGUUCUCAAUCGCUUUUCCGGUUAUAUUUGUUGCUAACAAGUUGGCUGUGUGGGCAGCAAGUUGAUAAAGGGACUGAGUCAUUUAGCCUUGGUGCUAUUGUUUCCAUUUACAGACUACAAAACUGACUUGGGUAGGAAAAUUCCAUCAAAAAUUUUAAUAUAGGAAAAAAAAAAGAAUAAUAAAAAAGGCAAGACC